GGCGGGUCCCCUCGCAUGAGGAAGCCAUGAAUCUGGUCAGGUCGGGAACGAAGCAGCCACAGUGGAUUUUCUUCAGUGCCGAGGAUAAGGCUCGCCACU
rfam:Sutterella sp. CAG:351 genomic scaffold, scf143